AAAAAGGCUUUCUUUUGUCUUUUCCUAAAAAGCCUAUGCUCUGAGAUGAUGCAUGGCUUUGUCCCCAGCAAUCUAACAGCAACAGAGUGAGACAAUCUAGUCAAUGCAGCGGCUCACACAUCAUUAACUGAAGUAAUGUUUCUCUCUUUUUUCUUCAUGUUCUCUUUUAUUUCUCGUUGUUCCUCCCUUGGUGUCUUCUCAGCCAAAUGACACAGAUUGCUCUGACGUAGAUGGGAUUUGUCCUCUUCGGUGUGACAGCGUUGAUAUUGCAUGCUACAUGAUUGACAAUAAUGGCUUUGUCCUAAUUUCUAAACAGCGCAAUGAUGUGAGUA